AAACGAAUUUUUACUGGAAUUUCAAACUUUUCCAGACUUGCUAAGAUGAUUAAAAAAAAAGAAAAGAAGAAAAGGUAUUUAAGUUCUUAGCAAAUGGUGUAACUUCCCCACUUUUUGCGUAUCCAUCAAAAUGCACAACCAACAAGUGAACCAUGAAUGUCACUUCUAAAGAAUCUAUUCCUCAAAAUACAAACAUAAGUAAAACAAUAAACUAUUUAACAAGUCCCCAUCAAGAGGAAAAUGAGUUAAAUAAAAUAUGAUAUAGGAACAAAAUAGAAUAUAUAUUCUGUCAUUGAAAACGAGUUAGAGCCAGGCAUGAUGGCUCAUGCCUGUAAUCCCAGUAACUCUGAAAGCUCAGGCAGGAGGAUCGCUUGAGGCCAGGAAUUCAAGGCCAGCCUCGGUAACAUAGCGAGACCUUGUCUCUAAAAUAAGUAACUUAAAAAUAUUUUUUAAUAGAAAUAAAAAAUAUAAGCUGGGUAUAGUGGCAUACGCUUGUAGUACCAGUUACUCAGGAGGCUGAGGUGGGAGGAUGACUUGAGCCCAGGAGAUCUGAAGAUGCAGUGAGCUAUGAUCGUGCUACUGCACUCCAGCCUGGGCAACAGAGCGAAACCCCAUCUCAUUUAAAAAAAAAAAAAAUUACAUUUAGACAGGUAUCUAAUAGGGUAUCCAAUAUAGUCACGCAUCUCUUAAUGACAGGGAUAUGUUCUGAGAAAUGCAUCACACACUUGGCAGUUUUGCCAUCAUGGGAACAUCAUAGCAUAUCUUACACGAAUGUCGAUGGUAUAGCCUACUAUAUAUACAUCUAGGCUGCAUUAUCUAGCCUACGGCUCCUAGGCUACACACCCGCACAGCACGUUAUUGUACUGAAUACCAUAGGUAAUUGUAACACAAUAGUUAAGUAUUUGUGUAUUUAAGUGUAUCUAAACAUAGAAAAGGCAGUAAAAAUACAUUAUAAUCUUACGUGACCACUGUCAUAUAUGCAGUCUGUGUCUGUCACUGACUGAAACUUCAUUAUAUGCUGCAUAAAUGCCUAUUGUUAGGUUAAAAAAAAAAAAAAAAAAGACAAGUUCCAGCACAGGCUGCAUAAACUUAUAUGCACCUAGAUGUGAGGAGAAGGAUACAUACCAAGCUAUAAACUCCACACCUCUAGAGCCUGGUAUCCAGGAGAAAGGAAAUGGGGAAAUUCACCUUUUCCUUUAUGCCUAUUUGUUUUCCUUGAAUUUAUUAUGCAGAGCACAUUUACUUCAGAAAUUAAAAAAUAAUAAAGUUUAAGACAAAUUAUGUCAUUGAACCAGGAUAUUCCCUACAAGCUAUGUGGAUACAGAAUGCUUGCUCACUAUUGUGUUACUAACAUAUUGCCUAAUACUAAGGAGAUUCAUGAUAGCAGCAAAUGAAGGGAGAAAGGAAGGGAAGAAAGGAAAACAUUUAAAGGAGAUUAAGGGGCAGAUGUAGUUUUGAAAAACCGUAUGUCGUCAGUAGGACUGACUUAUUUUUCUAAGCAUUUGUUCAACAAAUAUUAAAAAACUAUUACUACAUGUAAAGUGCUUUACUAAACAUUCUUUUAAAAAUGCAAAAAAAUGACAAGUUUCUGCUUUCAAGUAGCAUGCAAUCUAACAAAGGGAAAUGGGUAAACAGCUAGCCAUAUGAUACAUGAAAGAAAUGUGUUAAGGAGUGAUGUCAGCAAGAUGACAAUAUAGGAAAACGCAGUCCCUCCUUCCCCUACAGAAACAUGGAUUUAACAAUGCUAUAUGGGCCUAUUUAUUGCCUGUGUAAGAAACCCAGAAACCACUUAAGAAGUUCCUACACUCCGGGACAGAAGGAAACCAACCGCAUCAAAGGCUGGUAGAAAAAUGCAAGGCAUUCGCUUGCCAGAGACCCUCCCCUCAGCACAGUACAAAGUAAUAGGGAAGAAAUCCCUAAGAGGAGUGGAACACACAUCCAAUAUUCUGACUUCUGGGGUGCAAGAAACUUGCUUCUGUCUUUCCUGAAUCUAAAUAACAGGAACAGGGCACCAGGUUGGGAGCUGUCAAGAACAAAGAUUAACAUGAACCAGAGGCUGCAGUAUCACAGACACUAGGUAGAGCUCCAGUACCAUGGCCAACUACAGCACCAGUGAGGCCACAAUAUCACAGACAGACACCAGAGGGAGCUCCUGAGUAGAAACCAGCAAACCUCUUCAAUUAGAUUGUACCCCACAAACUCAAAAAGGACACAGCCUCGGAAAAGGCUUAAGAUGGCUGGCUCUAGAAUCCGUAGUAGGGCUGACUGGACAAAGUCCUCUCAAUACAAAAGCAGACUGUAAGACAGAGAAAGGUAGCUGAUUUUUCAAAUGCUGACAUCCCAACAAAAAUAAAGACAUACAAAGAAAUAGAAAAACACAGGCUAUCAAAAGAUCAAAUUAAAUCUCCAGAAAUAAACCCCAGAAAGACAUGGAAAUAGAUGAAUUACCAAAUUCAAAAUAACCGUCAUAAGAAUGCUCAAUGAAUUACAAGAGAGUACAGACAGACACCUGAAAAAAAACAAGAAAACAACGCAUGAACAAAAUGAAAGUAUAAAUGAAAGAAAUUUUUUUAAAAUGAAGAACCAAAUAGAAAUUCUGGAACCAAAUACAAUAAAUGGAUUGAAAAAUUCACUAGAGGAUCGACAGCAACUUGACCAGGUAGAAAAAAGAAUCUAUGAACUCCAAGACAGGACUUCUGAAAUUACUAAGAGAGGAAAAAUGUAAAAAUGAAGAGAACCUAAGGAAUGAAUGGGACACCAUCAAGUGGAAAAAUGCUCAUUAUAGGAGUUCAGAAAAAGAAGACAGAAAGGAGCAGAAAGCCUAUUUGAAGAAAUCAUGGCCAAAACCUUCCUGUAUCUGAGAAGAGAAAUGGGAGUAUAAAUUCAAGCAGCUCAAAACACUCCACUAGGAAGAGAACUACACCAAAACACACUCGUAAUCAAGCUGUCAAAAGUCACAAAAAAUCUUGAAAGCAGCAAGAGAAAAAUGACUCAUCACAUACAAAGAAGCUCUCAUUGAACUAUCAUUUAUCAGCAGAAAACUGGCAGGUUAGAAAAUAGUAGUAUUCAAAAUACUGAAAGAAAAAAAAUUGUCAACCAAGAAUACUGUAACCUAAACCUGUCCUUCGAAAAUAAGGGAAAAAUUAAGACUCCUUGAUAAACAACAGUAGAGGGGGUUUAUCACCACUAGACCAGUCCUACAAAAAAUAAUGAUAGGAGUACUUCAAGUUAAAGCAAAAUGAAAACAAACAGUAACACAAAACCAUAAGAAACUACAAUACUCCUUGGUAAAGGUAAAUACAUAGGCAAAUACAGAAUUCUGAAAGUAAUUUGAUAUAGGUGUAUAAGUCACAUUUAAAUCUGUAUAGAAUUUAAAAAACAAAGACAUAAAAAGUAAUUAUGAAUCUAUAUUAAUGACUACACAAUAAAAAGGUCUUUUUUGAGGGAGGAGCAGAGUUACAAAGGAGUCAAGUUUUUAUAUGAGACGGAAGAUUAAGCUGCUAUCAAACUAAAAUAUACUGUUAAUAAUUUUAAGAUGUUUUAUGUAACUGUAUUGACAACCACAAAGAAAAUGUCUAUAGAACAUACACAAAGAUAAAAGACAAGGGAAUCAAAGAAUGUAAUUAUACACACAAAAAAUCAACAAAACAAAAGAAGGCAGCAAGAGAGGAAAAGCUACAAGAUAUACAGAAAAUAGUUAACAAAAUGGAAAUAGGUAUGAAAAGUCUUUCAUAUCAAUAAUGACCUGAAAUGUAAAUUAAAUGCCCAAUUAAAAGAUACAGAUUGACCAACUGAAUAUAAAACAAGACUCAAGUAUAUGCCAUCCACAAGAAACAUACAUUAGAUCCAAGGGCAUGCGUAACCUAAAGUGAAGGAUGGAAAUAGAUAUUCCAUGAAAAUAAGAACCUAAAGGGGAUGGCCAUACUUAAAUAAAACAGACUUUAAGACAAAAAUUGUCACAAUAGACAAAGAAGGACAUUAAUUACAAUAUAAUGAUAAAAGAGUCAAUUCUCCAGGAUGAUAUAACAAUUACAAAUAUACGCGUAACUUGAGUGUUUCUAAAUAUAUGAAGCAAACACUGACAUAACUAGGGGAAGAAAUAGAAAGCAAUACAAUAAUAGUAGGAGACUUCAAUACUCCACUUUCAUUUAUGAAUAGAACAAUCAGAAGAUCAAAAAGAAAAGUUAUAUGUAGGAAACUCUAAAGACACACACACAACCUUCAUAACUAAUAAAGAUUCCAGCAAAGUUGCAGGAUAAAAAAAAUCAACACGAAAAAUCAAUUGCAUGUCUAUACACUAACAAUAACUGUUCUGAAAAAGAAAUUAAGAAAACAAUACCAUUUAAUGUAGCAUCAAAAAGGAGGAAAUACUUAGGAAUAAACCUAACCAAGGAGGUGAAAGACUUGUACCCUGAAAACUACAAAAUGUUACUAAAAGAAAUUUUAAAAGACACAAAUAAAUGCAAUGUCCUGAUAAGGUUUAGUUCUGGGUCCCCACCCAAAUCUCAUCUCAAAUUAUAUUCCCCAUAAUCCCGACAUGUCAAGGGGGGAACCUGGUGGGAGGUGACUGGAUCAUGGGUGCGGUUUCUCCAUGUUGUUCUCGUGAUGGUGAGUGAGACCUCACAAGAUCUGAUGGUUUUAGGGGCUCUUCCCCCUUCGCUUUCUCUCUCUCUCUCUUCAUUUGCUCUCUCGCCUGCCGCCAUGUAAGAUGUCCCUUUGCUUCCCUCUCUCCCCUUCUGCCACAAAUGUACAGUAAGUUUUCUGAGGCCUCCCCGAGCCAUGCAGAACUGUGAGUCAAUUAAACCUCUUUCCUUUAUAAAUUACCCAGUCUCAGGUAUGUCUUUAUAGCAGUGUGAGAACAGACUAAUACAUGUUCAGAAUUUGUAAGAAACUUGUACAACUUAACUACGGGGGUGGGGUGGGGGGGGAGGGUGCAGAAUUCUGAUUUUAAAAUGGGCAAAGGACUUGAAUCGACAAUUUUCUGCAGAAGAUAUGUAAAUGGCCAACAAGUAUAUAUAAGAUGCCCAACAUAACUAAUAAAAAGAGAAAUGCAAAUCAAAACCACAAUGAGAUAUCACUUCACAUCUGUUAGAAUGGAUAUUAGAAAAAAAUAUACAAAUGUUGGUGAGGAUGUGGAGAAAUGGAAACCCUUAAUACCGUUGGUGGGAAUGUAAAUCAAUAGUCAUUAAGGAACACAGUAUGGAGUUUCCUGAAAAAAUUAAAUAUAGUAUUAAUAAUUGCCAUAGGAUCUAACAAUCUCAUUUCUGGGUAUAUAUCCAAAAUAAUUCAAAGCAGAAUCUCAAAGCCAUAUUUGCACAUCUAUGUUCAUCACAGCAUUAUUCACAAUACCCAAAAGGUAGAAACAACCCAAAUGUCCAAACACAGAUGAAUGGAUAAAGAAAAUGUGCAAUAUACAUACAAUGGAGUAUUACGCAACCUAAAAAAGAAAAAUCCUAUCACAUGGUACAAUAUGAAUAAACCCUGAAGAUACACUAAAUAAGACAGUCACAAAAGAAUAAAUACCGUAUGAUUCCACAUGUAUGAAGUACCUCAAGUAAUCAAAAUUUUAGAAACAUAAAGUAAAAAGGUGGAGGGAAGGGGGAGAGAGGGAAGGGGAAUUAGUGUAAUGGGUAUAGUGUCUCCGUUUUGCAAGAUGAAAUAGUUAUAAAGAUCAGUUGUGCAAUAAUGUAAAUACACUUAACAUUACUGAAUUGUACACUUAAAAUGUUAAGAUAGUAAAUUGAACGUUAUGAGAUUUUUACUACAAUAAAAGAAAGAAAUAUGCAAAAUUAAAGACAUAAAGUGCCUUGGGAGUAAAAAAAGAUGUAUUAACUCUAACCUGUAAAAGUAAACAUAGAAAUAAUACACAAGGUUUCAGUCUUCAAAGAUUAAAAAUAUUUCAGGAGUGGUUUCCAAAGGAAUAUACACUAUGAGCAAAACCAAUAAGGCAUGUACCACAGGGCUGACUUAAAAGACUGUGUGGAAUCUGACAUUACUGAAAUGUGAAGAGACUAAAAAGUAAAUGCUGGAGCCUGGCA
rnacentral:lncRNA from 1 species